rnacentral:other from 1 species
CUUAACCUGAAAUGCACGAUAACUCUUGUUCGUUUUUGAACCUACAUUUACUUUAAACGGGAUUCCUAUAUUGCCAGUUGGCUGUCAAGCCCUCACUCGCCGGGUCUUUGGCCUGAGAGGAUUGGAAGGGAAGGCAAAAGGCUGGUUGCGGUUGCCCACCUAGCAUUGCUAGGAGUCAAAAAACAAGGGGCGGCAUUUCGGGGAUAUA